AGCGAACGCUGGCGGCAGGCUUAACACAUGCAAGUCGAGCGCUCGUAGCAAUACGAGAGCGGCAGACGGGAGAGUAACACGUGGGAACGUGCCCUUUGGUUCGGAAUAACUCAGGGAAACUUGAGCUAAUACCGGAUAAGCCCUUACGGGGAAAGAUUUAUCGCCAAAGGAGCGGCCCGCGUCUGAUUAGCUAGUUGGUGAGGUAACGGCUCACCAAGGCGACGAUCAGUAGCUGGUCUGAGAGGAUGAUCAGCCUCACUGGGACUGAGACACGGCC
rnacentral:rRNA from 1 species